GAUGAACGCUGGCGGCGUGCCUAACACAUGCAAGUCGAGCGAUUCUCUUCGGAGAAGAGCGGCGGACGGGUGAGUAACGCGUGGGUAACCUGCCCUGUACACACGGAUAACAUACCGAAAGGUAUGCUAAUACGGGAUAACAUAAGAAAUUCGCAUGUUUUUCUUAUCAAAGCUCCAGCGGUACAGGAUGGACCCGCGUCUGAUUAGCUAGUUGGUGAGGUAACGGCUCACCAAGGCGACGAUCAGUAGCCGACCUGAGAGGGUGAUCGGCCACAUUGGAACUGAGACACGGUCCAA
rnacentral:rRNA from 1 species